UACAGAGGGUGCGAGCGUUGUCCGGAAUCACUGGGCGUAAAGGGCGCGUAGGCGGUCUGCUAAGCGUGUGGUGAAAGCUCGGGGCUCAACCCCGAGUCGGCCGUGCGAACUGGUGGACUGGAGCAUGUCAGAGGCAGGCGGAAUUCCGGGUGUAGCGGUGGAAUGCGCAGAUAUCGGGAGGAACACCAAUGGCGAAGGCAGCUCGCUGGGACGGUACUGACGCCGAGACGCGAAAGCGUGGGGAGCAAACAGG
rnacentral:rRNA from 1 species